AUUGAACGCUGGCGGCAUGCUUUACACAUGCAAGUCGAACGGUAACAGGCCGCAAGGUGCUGACGAGUGGCGAACGGGUGAGUAAUGCAUCGGAACGUGCCCAGUCGUGGGGGAUAACUACUCGAAAGAGUAGCUAAUACCGCAUACGAUCUAUGGAUGAAAGCGGGGGACCGUAAGGCCUCGCGCGAUUGGAGCGGCCGAUGUCAGAUUAGGUAGUUGGUGGGGUAAAGGCUCACCAAGCCAACGAUCUGUAGCUGGUCUGAGAGGACGACCAGCCACACUGGGACUGAGACACGGCCCAGACUCCUACGGGAGGCAGCAGUGGGGAAUUUUGGACAAUGGGCGCAAGCCUGAUCCAGCAAUGCCGCGUGCAGGAAGAAGGCCUUCGGGUUGUAAACUGCUUUUGUACGGAACGAAACGGCUCUGGUUAAUACCCGGGGCUGAUGACGGUACCGUAAGAAUAAGCACCGGCUAACUACGUG
rnacentral:rRNA from 1 species